AACAAACACAAAAAAAAAAGCCAAAACAAAACAAAAAAAAAUCCCAAACAAACAAAACCCCCAAACCUGUGGAUAAUUUACCUUCUUAUUUCUGGAUAGGGUUGGAAGUUGUAUGCUUGAAUAGUAUCUUAAUUGGGUGGUUUUCACUGGCCCAACUGAAUAGAAUAAACGCAAAAAAAAAUGAUUAACAUAAGGAGUACACAAAAGCAACAAUCCAUCUCAUAAAUAAAUUAUCCUGGAGCUUUCUGUAAAUGUAAUAGCAUUUCAGUGCAUCUAUUUUCUGUUCUAGCAAUUGAAAGCUCUUGCAAAAUUCCUUCUCUGAGUAGACUGAAGAGAUCUAGGUAAUGAACAGGGAGUUUUCUCUUUCUGGCAAUCAGUUUGACCAGAGUUUGACCUUACACUGAAAAGGCUUAUUUUUGCAGAAUGGCCAAAUACUGCAAGACAUGAUGGCUUAUCAACCUUUCAGUUACUUCUAAGAUAAUACAAUUAUUUCCUGACUAAAUUAUGGAAAAUCACCUUCAGCACAGUAUUUCCAAAACUACAAUCAAACUAGCACAGUCAAAAAACCUGGUUAUUUUUGAGCAAGUUGAUUAAAACUUGAAGUUAUCUGGAUUAAAAAGCCCUUUAUAUGCAGUACUUCAUGUUUAUACCACAGAUAAUUAGCUCAUUAUGACCAUUAGCAUAGUUACAACUAUUAAUAGUUGCACUGAGAGCUGUGUCAGUGUCGUGUGUAUUCGGUAUUUAUCAAAUAUUCUUCAUGCAAGUGAUGAGCUACUGAAAAAAAAAAAAACACAGAAGGAUGAACUUUCUGUCCUUCACUGAGCCAGUCCUGCCACUCACUAUUUCAUUUAUAUGGUGUGCUUCAUAGAUGUGAUGGGUGCUGAUCUGACACAGCGAGCCUUGACAGCACUGGUAUCACCUAAAUACGUAUAUACUUUUCUUAGCUGUAUUUCACUGUCUGUCUAAUCAGCUUAAUCAACGGUAAGGAAAAAAUCUGAGUAAUUAAAAUGUACAAAUAUGCUCUUUUGGAAGGGUUGGUUGCAAAGCAGUUUAUUUUGCUAGGAAGGUGUCCUUUGUCUGUAUGUGCUGUGAGCAAGGCUGGAUAAGGCUUAUUUGAAGACUAUUAUCCUUUCCACAGUACGCAUACCAUGCUUGUGACGUUUUCAAGAACGAAUAAGGAUGGAGGGAAGAGGAAAGAAAAGCAUAAUAAAAGAAAUAUUAAACCACUUUUUGAAGUGUGUUUUUACUGAUUUUCAUUAAUAAAUUGCUAGUUUUGUAUUUUUUUUAUAUGCUGGGAAAUAAUGUCUCCAUUUAUCAUUCAUAGGAAGUCAAUAUAUCAUGUAGUCAUAUAUUCAUAUCCCACACUUAUGCAAAAAUAGGAAAGCAUUAAGUACUUGGAUAUAAGUGUUUAAGAUAAUGAAGAGUGAGAAAAGACCAGUCCCAAUUGUGGGUAGUUUCAAACUAAAAGUCAAGCAAACUUAUAGUGGAAAUUGCUUGAGAAUACCGUGUUAUUGCUUAAAGUGAUGAUUACACAUCAGAGGGAUAUCUAAUGCAGACCUCACUGAAAAUGUACUAUUGCAAAUUAAUGUUUUCUUUUUACUAAAAAGAGGUAAGAAACCAAGGUUUCUCUAUGAAAACAGAGAAAAGGUGUCAAUUCUUUCUUACCGUUCUUGAUAUCGAAAGCAAGAAUUAUGAAUUUAGUCCCAGAGUUGCUGAAACAUUACCAUAAGAUGAACUGCAGUGCCAACAAAAA